AGAGGAUGUCCGGCCACACUGGAACUGAGACACGGUCCAGACACCUACGGGUGGCAGCAGUCGAGAAUCAUUCACAAUGGGGGAAACCCUGAUGGUGCGACGCCGCGUGGGGGAAUGAAGGUCUUCGGAUUGUAAACCCCUGUCAUGUGGGAGCAAAUUAAAAAGAUAGUACCACAAGAGGAAGAGACGGCUAACUCUGUGCCAGCAGCCGCGGUAAUACAGAGGUCUCAAGCGUUGUUCGGAAUCACUGGGCGUAAAGCGUGCGUAGGCUGUUUCGUAAGUCGUGUGUGAAAGGCGCGGGCUCAACCCGCGGACGGCACAUGAUACUGCGAGACUAGAGUAAUGGAGGGGGAACCGGAAUUCUCGGUGUAGCAGUGAAAUGCGUAGAUAUCGAGAGGAACACUCGUGGCGAAGGCGGGUUCCUGGACAUUAACUGACGCUGAGGCACGAAGGCCAGGGGAGCGAAAGGGAUUAGAUACCCCUGUAGUCCUGGCAGUAAACGGUGCACGCUUGGUGUGCGGGGAAUCGACCCCCUGCGUGCCGGAGCUAACGCGUUAAGCGUGCCGCCUGGGGAGUACGGUCGCAAGAUUAAAACUCAAAGAAAUUGACGGGGACCCGCACAAGCGGUGGAGUAUGUGGCUUAAUUCGAUGCAACGCGAAGAACCUUACCUGGGCUUGACAUGUAAUGAACAACAUGUGAAAGCAUGCGACUCUUCGGAGGCGUUACACAGGUGCUGCAUGGCCGUCGUCAGCUCGUGUCGUGAGAUGUUUGGUUAAGUCCAGCAACGAGCGCAACCCCUGUUGCCAGUUACCAGCACGUGAAGGUGGGGACUCUGGCGAGACUGCCCAGAUCAACUGGGAGGAAGGUGGGGACGACGUCAGGUCAGUAUGGCCCUUAUGCCCAGGGCUGCACACGUACUACAAUGCCCAGUACAGAGGGGGCCGAAGCCGCGAGGCGGAGGAAAUCCUAAAAACUGGGCCCAGUUCGGACUGUAGGCUGCAACCCGCCUACACGAAGCCGGAAUCGCUAGUAAUGGCGCAUCAGCUACGGCGCCGUGAAUACGU
rnacentral:rRNA from 1 species